GGGGCUGUAGCUCAGUGGCAAAGCGCUUGUCUAGAGCGCAUGAGGCACUGGGUUCAAUCCUCAGCACCA
rnacentral:tRNA from 1 species